CCCAGACUCCUACGGGAGGCAGCAGUGGGGAAUAUUGCACAAUGGGGGAAGCCCUGAUGCAGCGACGCCGCGCGAGUGAAGAAGUAUUUCGGUAUGUAAAGCUCUAUCAGCAGGGAAGAUAAUGACGGUACCUGAGUAAGAAGCCCCGGCUAACUACGUGCCAGCAGCCGCGGUAAUACGUAGGGGGCAAGCGUUAUCCGGAUUUACUGGGUGUAAAGGGAGCGUAGACGGCAUGGCAAGUCUGAAGUGAAAGCCCGGGGCUCAACCGCGGGACUGCUUUGGAAACUGUUAAGCUGGAGUGCAGGAGAGGUAAGUGGAAUUCCUAGUGUAGCGGUGAAAUGCGUAGAUAUUAGGAGGAACACCAGUGGCGAAGGCGGCUUACUGGACUGUAACUGACGUUGAGGCUCGAAAGCGUGGGGAGCAAACAGGAUUAGAUACCCGAGUAU
rnacentral:rRNA from 1 species